rnacentral:rRNA from 1 species
GAUGAACGCUGGCGGCGUGCCUAAUACAUGCAAGUCGAGCGAACAGACGAGGAGCUUGCUCCUCUGACGUUAGCGGCGGACGGGUGAGUAACACGUGGAUAACCUACCUAUAAGACUGGGAUAACUUCGGGAAACCGGAGCUAAUACCGGAUAAUAUAUUGAACCGCAUGGUUCAAUAGUGAAAGACGGUUUUGCUGUCACUUAUAGAUGGAUCCGCGCCGCAUUAGCUAGUUGGUAAGGUAACGGCUUACCAAGGCAACGAUGCGUAGCCGACCUGAGAGGGUGAUCGGCCACACUGGAACUGAGACACGGUCCAGUCUCCUACGGGAGGCAGCAGUAGGGAAUCUUCCGCAAAGGGCGAAAGCCUGACGGAGCAACGCCGCGUGAGUGAUGAAGGUCUUCGGAUCGUAAAACUCUGUUAUUAGGGAAGAACAAAUGUGUAAGUAACUAUGCACGUCUUGACGGUACCUAAUCAGAAAGCCACGGCUAACUACGUG